rnacentral:rRNA from 1 species
UUCGACACACUAUCAUUAACUGAAUCCAUAGGUUAAUGAGGCGAACCGGGGGAACUGAAACAUCUAAGUACCCCGAGGAAAAGAAAUCAACCGAGAUUCCCCCAGUAGCGGCGAGCGAACGGGGAGGAGCCCAGAGCCUGAAUCAGUGUGUGUGUUAGUGGAAGCGUCUGGAAAGGCGCGCGAUACAGGGUGACAGCCCCGUACACAAAAAUGCACAUAUUGUGAGCUCGAUGAGUAGGGCGGGACACGUGGUAUCCUGUCUGAAUAUGGGGGGACCAUCCUCCAAGGCUAAAUACUCCUGACUGACCGAUAGUGAACCAGUACCGUGAGGGAAAGGCGAAAAGAACCCC